rnacentral:rRNA from 1 species
AUUGAACGCUGGCGGCGUGCCUAACACAUGCAAGUCGAUCGGUAACGCGGGGGCAACCCUGGCGACGAGAGGCGGACGGGUGAGCAAUGCUUGGGAAUCUGCCCAUCAGCGGGGGACAACCCGGGGAAGCUCGGGCUAAUACCGCAUACGCUCUACGGAGGAAAGCCGGGGACCGCAAGGCCUGGCACUGACGGAUGAGCCCAAGCCGGAUUAGCUAGUUGGCGGGGUAACGGCCCACCAAGGCGACGAUCCGUAGCUGGUCUGAGAGGACGAUCAGCCACACCGGAACUGAGACACGGUCCGGACUCCUACGGGAGGCAGCAGUGGGGAAUAUUGGACAAUGGGGGAAACCCUGAUCCAGCGACGCCGCGUGGGUGAAGAAGGCCUGCGGGUUGUAAAGCCCUUUCGGUAGGGACGAAAGCUUCCGACCUAACACGUCGGAAGGUUGACUUAACCUACAAAAGAAGCACCGGCUAACUCUGUGCCAGCAGCCGCGGUAAUACAGAGGGUGCGAGCGUUAAUCGGAAUUACUGGGCGUAAAGCGCACGUAGGCGGCUUGGUAUGUCGGGUGUGAAAUCCCCGGGCUCAACCUGGGAACUGCAUCCAAAACUGCCUUGCUCGAGUAUGGGAGAGGGAAGUGGAAUUUCCGGU